AUGGCAAAGUGUUUCGCCGUCGCGCUCCUGCUACUGGUGGUGCUCGCGUCCUGCGAAGGGAGGGAGCUGAACGGGAAGGACAGCGCACUCGCAGCGACACGCGGUGCCGGUGCUGGUGGUGGCGUCGGCGAGUCGAAGAUUUUGGGGUUGCCAGAAUUGCCGCUGACCACGACCAUUACCGGCCCGGUGGUGGUGCUGCCUGCUCUUCCUGGGAUCCCUGCUCACCCAUGA
rnacentral:rRNA from 1 species